rnacentral:rRNA from 1 species
CAGCUCGUGUCGUGAGAUGUUGGGUUAAGUCCCGCAACGAGCGCAACCCUCGACCUUAGUUGCCAGCAUUCAGUUGGGCACUCUAAGGUGACUGCCGGCUAAAAGUCGGAGGAAGGUGGGGAUGACGUCAAAUCAUCAUGCCCCUUAUGACCUGGGCUACACACGUGCUACAAUGGGCGGUACAAAGGGUCGCGAACCCGCGAGGGGGAGCCAAUCCCAAAAAGCCGCUCUCAGUUCGGAUUGCAGGCUGCAACUCGCCUGCAUGAAGCCGGAAUCGCUAGUAAUCGCGGAUCAGCAUGCCCGCGGUCCGAAUACGUUCCGGGCCUU